UACGGAGGAUGCAAGCGUUAUCCGGAAUUAUUGGGCGUAAAGCGUCCGCAGGUGGCACUUCAAGUCUGUCGUCAAAGACCGGGGCUUAACCCUGGAAAGGCGAUGGAAACUGAAAGGCUAGAGAGAGGUAGGGGUAGAGGGAAUUCCCAGUGUAGCGGUGAAAUGCGUAGAUAUCUGGAGGAACACCGGUGGCGAAGGCGGCAUCCUGGACCGGCAUUGACGCUGAGGAGCGAAAGCCAGGGGAGCAAACGGG
rnacentral:rRNA from 1 species